CUUCCUGCAUGGGGCCUGCUUCUCCCUCUGCUUGUGUCUCUGCCUCUCUGUGUCUCUCAUGAAUAAAUAAAUAAAAUCUUAAAAAAUUCUAUUUCUUUGGUUGCCUUAGUAAAAUAAGUGAUUGAGGAAAAAGAGUAUUCAAGAAGAAACUUUUGCCUAAUUAUCAUUUCUAUGUAUCUAGUAUUUGCUACUUUAUCAUGCCCCUUUUACUCCUCACUUUAUUAGUUAUGAGAAAUUAAUAAAUUCAGUUUGUUUUUGAAAUCAGAACAAGUAGAUUCUAAUCCUAACUCUGCUUUCAGCAGGUGGGUGACAUGGGCAACUGUCUUAAGCUCCCUAGGACUCUGUUUUUUCAUUUGCAAAAUAAGGAAUGAUGUAUAUUAGACAAUUAUUGUGAGGGUUAUUUUCAACUUGUAAAUUGCAAUGCUUUAUGACUGGCAGAAAGUGGACACUUAAUACAAAUUGUUCUCCUUUCUUUAGCUCUUCUUUAAAAAAAAUAAAACUAAUGAAGAAAUACAAUACUAAUGAAGAGAGAUCCCAGAGUUUUAAAAAAAAGAAAGAAAGAAAGAAGACAACACUUAUGGGAUAUAGCUCAGCCUAGCUGGCUGCAUCCCUGACACCUGAUAUAAGUGACCACCCUGUCACCUGACGUCAUAGGACUGCAUAACGCUAACUGGUAUGUAGGUGCCUCCCUCCUGCCCUCUCCCCUCCUCCUCCUUUCCUUCCUUCCCUUCCUUCCCUUGUUCUUUUCCUUUUUUAAAAAAUAUUUUAUUUAUUUGAGAGAGAAAGAGAGAACAAGAGCAGGGGAGAGGGGCAGAGGGAGAGGGAGAAGCAGACUUUGAUGUGGCUGGAGGACAGGGAGUGAGCUGAGCUUGGACAGAGUAGGAAUAUAAAAGGAGGUAAACUGAGAGGUUUUAGGUAUAUACCCACAUCCCAAUAAAUGUUUUGUUUUUUUUUCCAACCCGAGAUCUAGCUUCUUCAUGGACCCAUGGCGAUGAAAUACUUCUGGCACUUUCUGACAUUGCUGCCCCACAGGAAAAGAGGGAAGUGGUCUUGAAAAAGAUAACGGACAAAUUUGCUCUGCUGUAACGACUCAUUGCAGAGUUUUGACAUUGGACUUUUGGGAGGAUAUUUUUUUUUUUAACGGCUUAAUGAAUGAGUUGGAAAUAGAUUCCUGGACAUGGCCAAAUAUGGGAAACAUGUAGAGUAUCAUUUUGUUGUCAUUUAUCCAUUGGCCGCUUACAACAAAUCACGGUUGUGAAGCAGCAGUUUUGUGUGCAACAUCGUGAUAGUUUUCGUUCACUUAUGAUAUCGUAGGUGUGAGUUUUAUUUAUUAUUUAUUUAUUAUUAUUUAUUUUAUUAUUUAUUUAUUUAUAAUUUUGGGAGACAGGGAGGGGUUUUCAUCGACUGUGACAGUCACCUCGUCUGUAAGUCGGGAAUAACGAAAAUGCUUAUCUCAAAGGGUGGUUGUGAGCCUAAGAUGACUCUAAAGGAAUCAGGUGCUCAGAGCCGUGCCGGGCGUCAGCUGCUGGCCUGUCCCAAUCCUCAUCAUGAUUAUUGGUGGCCCUCGUGAGGCGAGACACGGUGUGACUUUAUUGCAAGACUUUUACACGGGGUUCAAAAAUCUACCGUAAAUGCGUGUACAUUUGAUUUGGCUGGAGAGACACAUUCUGCUAUUUUGCCGU
rnacentral:lncRNA from 1 species